rnacentral:rRNA from 1 species
AGAAUCAACGCCGGCGGCGUGCCUAACACAUGCAAGUCGCACGAGAAAGGGGAGCAAUCCCUGAGUAAAGUGGCGCACGGGUGAGUAACACGUGAAUAAUCUACCUCCGAGUGGGGAAUAACUGAGAGAAAUCUUAGCUAAUACCGCAUAACACUUACGAGUCAAAGCAGCAAUGCGCUUGGAGAGGAGUUCGCGGCCGAUUAGUUAGUUGGCGGGGUAAUGGCCCACCAAGACGAUGAUCGGUAUCCGGCCUGAGAGGGCGCACGGACACACUGGAACUGAAACACGGUCCAGACUCCUACGGGAGGCAGCAGUGGGGAAUUUUGCGCAAUGGGGGAAACCCUGACGCAGCAACGCCGCGUGGAGGAUGAAGCCCCUUGGGGUGUAAACUCCUUUCGAUCGGGAAGAUAAUGACGGUACCGAUAUAAGAAGCCCCGGCUAACUUCGUGCCAGCAGCCGC